rnacentral:rRNA from 1 species
UGGGGAAUAUUGGACAAUGGGGGCAACCCUGAUCCAGCGAUGCCGCGUGAGUGAAGAAGGCCUUCGGGUCGUAAAGCUCUUUAGGUUGGGAAGAAGUGUGUGAUCAGAUAAUGGUGACACAUUGACGGUACUGACAGAAUAAGCACCGGCAAACUCUGUGCCAGCAGCCGCGGUAAUACAGAGGGUGCGAGCGUUAAUCGGAGUUACUGGGCGUAAAGGGCGCGUAGGCGGUUGUAAGGGUGUGAUGUGAAAGCCCUGGGCUUAACCUAGGAAGUGCAUCGCAAACUAUAUAACUGGAGUACAAGAGAGGGUGGCGGAAUUUCCGGUGUAGCGGUGAAAUGCGUAGAGAUCGGAAGGAACGUCGAUGGCGAAGGCAGCCACCUGGCUUGAUACUGACGCUGAGGCGCGAAAGCGUGGGGAGCGAACAGG